rnacentral:rRNA from 1 species
UACGAACUGUGCAACCGUUAUUCGGAAUCACUGGGCUUACAGGGUGCGUAGGCGGCUUGUCAAGUAGGGUGUGAAAGCCCCCGGCUCAACCGGGGAAUUGCGCCCUAAACUGGCGAGCUGGAGUGAGAUAGGGGUGUGCGGAACUUCCGGUGGAGCGGUGAAAUGUGUUGAUAUCAUUUGGAACGCCAAUGGUGAAAACAGGUAGCUGGGAGUGUGCUGACGCUGAGACACGAAAGCCAGGGGAGCAAACGGG